rnacentral:lncRNA from 1 species
GUUUUUUUACAUGCUAAAUAAAUUUCAUAAAAAAUACAUGCUAAAUAAAAUAAUAAAACAUAUAAUGUACAUAACAUGAGUUUUUUACACAAAUAAUAUAAAAAAAUUAAAAUAAUACAAAAAAAAAUACCUUUCCUUAUUCUUUUUCUUUCUUUUUCCUUCCUUCCCUCCCUCUUCUUCUUCUCCUUCUCUUUCUCUUUUUCCUGCGCCUCCUUCUCCUCCUCCUUCUUCUUCUUCUUCUCCUUUCCUUUUCUUUCUUUUUCUUUCUUCUCCUUUCCUUUUCUAUCUUCUCCUUCAGCCGAAUCUGGGGACCAUUAUAAUGGGUGGUGCCGCCUGUGGCAGAGGCACCUUUGGUGCCGCCUCUGCCACUAGCACCUCUGGUGCCGCCUGUGGCAGGCCUUCCACUAGGGUCC